GACGAACGCUGGCGGCGUGCUUAACACAUGCAAGUCGAACGGAAAGGCCCUGCUUUUGUGGGGUGCUCGAGUGGCGAACGGGUGAGUAACACGUGAGUAACCUGCCCUUGACUUUGGGAUAACUUCAGGAAACUGGGGCUAAUACCGGAUAGGAGCUCCUGCUGCAUGGUGGGGGUUGGAAAGUUUCGGCGGUUGGGGAUGGACUCGCGGCUUAUCAGCUUGUUGGUGGGGUAGUGGCUUACCAAGGCUUUGACGGGUAGCCGGCCUGAGAGGGUGACCGGCCACAAUGGGACUGAGAUACGGCCCAGACUCCUACGGGAGGCAGCGGUGGGGAAUAUUGCACAGUGGGCGGGAGCCUGAUGCAGCAACGCCGCGUGCGGGAUGACGGCCUUCGGGUUGUAAACCGCUUUCGCCUGUGACGAAGCGUGAGUGACGGUAAUGGGUAAAGAAGCACCGGCUAACUACGUG
rnacentral:rRNA from 1 species